UACGGAGGGAGCUAGCGUUGUUCGGAAUUACUGGGCGUAAAGCGCGCGUAGGCGGCUUUGUAAGUUAGAGGUGAAAGCCCGGGGCUCAACCCCGGAACUGCCUUUAAGACUGCAUCGCUUGAAUCCGGGAGAGGUGAGUGGAAUUCCGAGUGUAGAGGUGAAAUUCGUAGAUAUUCGGAAGAACACCAGUGGCGAAGGCGGCUCACUGGACCGGUAUUGACGCUGAGGUGCGAAAGC
rnacentral:rRNA from 1 species